rnacentral:rRNA from 1 species
GAUUAACGCUGGCGGCGUGCAUGAGACAUGCAAGUCGAACGGACGAUCGGGCUUGCUCGAUCGUUAGUGGCGGACGGCUGAGUAACGCGUGGGUGACCUGCCCCGAAGUGGGGAAUAACUGCCCGAAAGGGUGGCUAAUACCGCAUGUGGUGACUGGUUCGUUCCAGUCUCCAAAGCCGCAAGGCGCUUCGGGAGGGGCCUGCGUCCGAUUAGCUCGUUGGUGGGGUAACGGCUCACCAAGGCGACGAUCGGUAGGUGGUCUGAGAGGACGAUCACCCAGACUGGGACUGAGACACGGCCCAGACUCCUACGGGAGGCAGCAGUCGGGAAUUUUGCUCAAUGGGCGAAAGCCUGAAGCAGCAACGCCGCGUGAGGGAUGACGGCCUUCGGGUUGUAAACCUCUUUUCUCAGGGACGAUAGUGACGGUACCUGAGGAAUAAGCCACGGCUAACUACGUGCCAGCCGCCGCUGUAACAC